rnacentral:rRNA from 1 species
AUUGAACGCUGGCGGCAGGCCUAACACAUGCAAGUCGAGCGGAUGAAGGGAGCUUGCUCCUGGAUUCAGCGGCGGACGGGUGAGUAAUGCCUAGGAAUCUGCCUGGUAGUGGGGGAUAACGUCCGGAAACGGGCGCUAAUACCGCAUACGUCCUGAGGGAGAAAGUGGGGGAUCUUCGGACCUCACGCUAUCAAAUGAGCCUAGGUCUGAUUAGCUAGUUGGUGGGGUAAAGGCCUACCAAGGCGACGAUCCGUAACUGGUCUGAGAGGAUGAUCAGUCACACUGGAACUGAGACACGGUCCAGACUCCUACGGGAGGCAGCAGUGGGGAAUAUUGGACAAUGGGCGAAAGCCUGAUCCAGCCAUGCCGCGUGUGUGAAGAAGGUCUUCGGAUUGUAAAGCACUUUAAGUUGGGAGGAAGGGCAGUAAGUUAAUACCUUGCUGUUUUGACGUUACCAACAGAAUAAGCACCGGCUAACUUCGUG